GUGAAUCAUCGAAUCUUUGAACGCAAAUUGCACUUUCUGGUAUUCCGGAGAGUAUGCCUGUUUGAGGGUCAGUUAAAUAAAAAUCGGGGGUGGUGGUGGCUUUCGGUGGUACGGGUCGGGAUUGGGUCGGCUUAGCUUUGGGUAAGGGACUUAAAAUUUUUGCAUGAUUUUCGAACGUAUUUAAAUCGCUUACGUAGGUUUGAGAUGUCGAAUGC
rnacentral:misc_RNA from 1 species